rnacentral:rRNA from 1 species
GUGGAGCAAUCCAUGAGUAAAGUGGCGACCGGGUGAGUAACACGUGACUAACCUACCUUUUAGUGGGGGAUAACCCCGGGAAACCGGGGCUAAUACCGCAUAACAUCGCAAGAUCAAAGCAGCAAUGCGCUGGAAGAGGGGGUCGCGGCUGAUUAGCUAGUUGGCGGGGUAACGGCCCACCAAGGCGAAGAUCGGUAUCCGGCCUGAGAGGGCGCACGGACACACUGGAACUGAAACACGGUCCAGACUCCUACGGGAGGCAGCAGUGGGGAAUUUUGCGCAAUGGGGGAAACCCUGACGCAGCAACGCCGCGUGGAGGAUGAAGUCCUUCGGGACGUAAACUCCUUUCGAUCGGGACGAUUAUGACGGUACCGGAAGAAGAAGCCCCGGCUAACUUCGUGCCAGCAGCCGCGGUAAUACGAGGGGGGCGAGCGUUGUUCGGAAUUAUUGGGCGUAAAGGGUGCGUAGGCGGUUUGGUAAGUCUUGUGUGAAAUCUAUGGGCUCAACUCAUAGUCUGCACGAGAAACUGCCGGGCUUGAGUGUGGGAGAGGUGAGUGGAAUUUCCGGUGUAGCGGUGAAAUGCGUAGAUAUCGGAAGGAACACCUGUGGCGAAAGCGGCUCACUGGACCACAACUGACGCUGAUGCACGAAAGCUAGGGGAGCAAACAGGAUUAGAUACCCUGGUAGUCCUAGCCCUAAACGAUGACUGC